CCUCCUGGGCUCUUGUCUUGAUAGCUGGGGAGGGGCCUGAGCAGGCUCAUGCUGGCUGGCUAGUAUUUCCCACACUGACAUCCAGACUUGGUGCUAUCCCUCAUCCCCAGAGCAGGCUGAAGGCAUGCGAGCAGUCACAGCGCGAUAGCAGUGGGGGCACCAGGGGCCUCGUCCAAGGACAGUCCACCCAUGGCUCAGGCCAAGACAGGCCACGGCCAGAGACCCAGGGUUCCUGGGCCCUCCUCCAAGAGACGAGUCUACAGGAAGUAUGGGCUGUGGCCGGGUCUGUGUGGAUUGCCCCUGUACGUGCCCUGAACCGCCCAGUCUGCUAGCAGACAGUACACACAGGCAUCACGACAGGACUUGGCCACAGCACCCCACCAGCGGCCG
rnacentral:lncRNA from 1 species